AUUGACCUCGGAUCAGGUAGGAAUACCCGCUGAACUUAA
rnacentral:rRNA from 2 species